UAGCGGCAGGCCUAACACAUGCAAGUCGAGGGGCAUCGGGAUUGAAGCUUGCUUCAAUUGCCGGCGACCGGCGCACGGGUGCGUAACGCGUAUGUAACCUACCUAUAACAGGGGCAUAACACUGAGAAAUUGGUACUAAUUCCCCAUAAUAUUCGGAGAGGCAUCUCUCCGGGUUGAAAACUCCGGUGGUUAUAGAUGGACAUGCGUUGUAUUAGCUAGUUGGUGAGGUAACGGCUCACCAAGGCAACGAUACAUAGGGGGACUGAGAGGUUAACCCCCCACACUGGUACUGAGACACGGACCAGACUCCUACGGGAGGCAGCAGUGAGGAAUAUUGGUCAAUGGACGCAAGUCUGAACCAGCCAUGCCGCGUGCAGGAAGACGGCUCCAUGAGUUGUAAACUGCUUUUGUACGAGGGUAAACUCACCUACGUGUAGGUGACUGAAAGUAUCGUACGAAUAAGGAUCGGCUAACUCCGUGCCAGCAGCCGCGGUAAUACG
rnacentral:rRNA from 1 species